CGCACCUUGCGCUCCCUGGUAUUCCGGGGAGCACGCCCGUUUGAGUGUCAUGGUAUUCUCACCCUUUAUUACUUUUGUGAUUAAAGGCGUGGAUGUGGAGGUCGUGCUGGCUCUCGCGAGUCAGCUCCUCUGAAAUGCAUUAGCGUGAACGUUUACGGAUCGCUAUCAGUGUGAUAAUUAUCUGCGCUGUUAGUGUUGAAGUAUGUUUAGUGUCGCGCUUCUAACCGUCCUUCAGUUGGACAACUUAUCAGACAUCUGGCCUCAAAUCGGGCGGGACUACCCGCUGAACUUAA
rnacentral:misc_RNA from 1 species